ACUGGUCGGAGAAUUUUAUGUAAUUUAGCUAAUAAAUAAAAGAGCAGAAAGGCUGACAUCUUUUGUAUUUUCUUUCACUUUCACUUUUUGAGGCAGAAAGAGUAGAGGGGGAAGGGGCAGACAGCACAGCAGGCCAAGAGCGAUGCUGGGAAGUCGGAGGCGCUGCCCGCCGCAUGAUUUGGAUUCGGAGCGAGCUGCCCCCAAAACCCCCAACACCCAACCCCUCUCUCUCUACGAGGCUACACUUCAAAAGCUUAGACAUGGUGCGCGACGCGCUUUUGCAUCAACGGAAGAGGGCGGUAAGUGUGAAAUGUCGGCUACCGCUACGAGUGCUCACCCUGAGGGAGGCGACGGUAAAUCAACUGUGAAACUGAAACAAGAAGAAAUGGACCAGAACUCAUAAUCAUACUGUUAAGAUCCAAAUGAUGAUAAAGCUGCCACUUUGGGGAUUUGUAAGAUUGUGUGUGUUGAGAUAUUUUCGGUUUUGGAGUAUUGUGUAACAUGAAAGUGUGUUGUCUAUGCAAUUUCACCUGUUUUUCUCAUUACAGCUUGACAUGUUGUUUGGUAUUGCAUUCUCUGGCAAUUUGAUCUUCCAUGUUUCAUUUCUUUAUCCUCUUUCUUCUGUACCUCAAACUUUGUGGUGUACUAGAGAAGAAUUCGAUAAAAGAUCCCUUUUGCUGA